GCUCGAUACCGUAAAAGUUAACUCAUAUUUGUAUGUAGUUGGAUGGUUUGCGUACGUUUGCCGCUAGGGGCGCUGUUCUAACUGCAUACAAAUUAGAGUUAACUUUUACGUUAUCGA
rnacentral:pre_miRNA from 9 species